rnacentral:rRNA from 1 species
UCGAGGGGCAGCAGGGGAGUAGCAAUACUCCCGCUGGCGACCGGCGCACGGGUGAGUAACACGUAUGCAACCUGCCCUUGUCAGGGGGAUAAGCGGAAGAAAUUCCGUCUAAUACCGCAUAAUGCUGCGGGGAGACAUCUCCCUGCAGCCAAAGAUUUAUCGGACAAGGAUGGGCAUGCGGCGCAUUAGCUGGUUGGCGGGGUAACGGCCCACCAAGGCGACGAUGCGUAGGGGUUCUGAGAGGAAGGUCCCCCACACUGGUACUGAGACACGGACCAGACUCCUACGGGAGGCAGCAGUGAGGAAUAUUGGUCAAUAGCCGGGAGGCUGAACCAGCCAAGUCGCGUGAGGGAAGACGGUCCUAUGGAUUGUAAACCUCUUUUGUCAGGGAGCAAAAACUGCCACGCGUGGCAGGAUGAGAGUACCUGAAGAAAAAGCAUCGGCUAACUCCGUGCCAGCAGCCGCGGUAAUACGGAGGAUGCGAGCGUUAUCCGGAUUUAUUGGGUUUAAAGGGUGCGUAGGCGGACAGUUAAGUCAGCGGUAAAAUUGAGAGGCUCAACCUCUUCCCGCCGUUGAAACUGAUUGUCUUGAGUGGGCGAGAAGUAUGCGGAAUGCGUGGUGUAGCGGUGAAAUGCAUAGAUAUCACGCAGAACUCCGAUUGCGAAGGCAGCAUACCGGCGCCCAACUGACGCUGAAGCACGAAAGCGUGGGUAUCGAACAGGAUUAGAUACCCUGGUAGUCCACGCAGUAAACGAUGAAUACUAAUUGUUCGGGUCAAAUGAGAUCUGAGUGAUACAGCGAAAGCGUUAAGUAUUCCACCUGGGGAGUACGCCGGCAACGGUGAAACUCAAAGGAAUUGACGGGGGCCCGCACAAGCGGAGGAACAUGUGGUUUAAUUCGAUGAUACGCGAGGAACCUUACCCGGGCUCA